rnacentral:rRNA from 1 species
AGCAGCCGCGGUAAUUCCAGCUCCAAUAGCGUAUAUUAAAGUUGUUGCAGUUAAAAAGCUCGUAGUUGAAUUUCGGGGUCAAUAAGUUGGUCAUGCCAAUGGUAUGCACUGGCUUUAUUGAUUCCUACCUCUUGACGAACUGUGAUGCCAUUAAUUUGGUGUUGCAAGGAAUCAGGACUGUUACCUUGAAAAAAUUAGAGUGUUUAAAGCAAGCUUACGCUUGAAUACAUUAGCAUGGAAUAAUGAAAUAGGACGUUUGAUCCUAUUUUGUUGGUUUCUAGGAUCGACGUAAUGAUUAAUAGGGAUAGUUGGGGGCAUUAGUAUUCAAUUGUCAGAGGUGAAAUUCUUGGAUUUAUUGAAGACUAACUACUGCGAAAGCAUUUGCCAAGGAUGUUUUCAUUAAUCAAGAACGAAAGUUAGGGGAUCGAAGACGAUCAGAUACCGUCGUAGUCUUAACCAUAAACUAUGCCGACUGGGGAUCGGAUGAUGUUAAUUUUUAAUGACUCAUUC